CAAGGCGACGAUGCGUAUCCGACCUGAGAGGGUGAACGGCCACACUGGGACUGAGACACGGCCCAGACUCCUACGGGAGGCAGCAGUAGGGAAUCUUCCGCAAUGGACGCAAGUCUGACGGAGCAACGCCGCGUGAGUGAUGAAGGUUUUCGGAUCGUAAAGCUCUGUUGCCAGGGAAGAACGUCUUGGAGAGUAACUGCUCUAAUAGUGACGGUACCUGAGAAGAAUGCC
rnacentral:rRNA from 1 species